rnacentral:rRNA from 1 species
GAUCCUGGCUCAGGAUGAACGCUGGCGGCGUGCUUAACACAUGCAAGUCGAACGAAGCACUUUAUUACAAUUUCUUCGGAAUGACGAUUUAGUGACUGAGUGGCGGACGGGUGAGUAACGCGUGGGUAACCUGCCUUAUACAGGGGGAUAACAGUUAGAAAUGACUGCCAAUACCGCAUAAGCGCACAGGAUUGCAUGAUCUGGUGUGAAAAACUCCGGUGGUAUAAGAUGGACCCGCGU